GAGUCCGUUUUGACCGAGCAGCAAAAUGCCCGGCAGCACUCGCAAACAACGGACUCUUAAUCCGUAGGUCGAGUGUUCGAGUCACUCAGGGCCCACCA
rnacentral:tRNA from 2 species